GAAGUUUGUUCAGGCUGUGUGUGUACGCAUGCGCAGGAGAGGCUGUUUGUCCAGUUUCUCUGGUCGACUUUUACCUGUGAGGUAGUUUCGGUUCGCAGCUGGGACCAAGACCCGACAACAAGUCGGAACCAGAACUUCCCACCGCCGUCCCGCUGAGCCGAAGACGUAUUUACACGGGAGUCGCGACAUCGAGCGCGGCAGGCGGAAGGUGCUGCUGGCAGGACUGAGCAGGAGGUGACACUUCUGGAUGGUUGGAAAUCAACCGGUUGAAGCCUGGGGGGGUCCACAUGCGUGACUUUCAUUAGUAUGCGCCUGGAGUCCCGGAGCUGCAGCCGGAGGACGGAGCGGCAGUCCUGAAGCCUCCACUCCCGCUGAGUGACUUCGCGCCCCGGGGAGGACGACACCAAGGCUACUGAGGCUAUAGCUGUCUGGACCAGGAAGAUGAUGGGAUUUCUCCGUAGGACGUUCAGCCGGCGCUCACGCCUCCAAUACCGGGAGAGAGACGAGCGGGACGGUAAAGGUCCUGGAGGAGGAGGAGGAGGUGGCGGGGUGACUGGGAACCCCCUGCUCCUGGCACAUCAGCAGCAGGUCGUCCAUGCUCCCGCUGUGGUGACCGGUGGGUCGUCUGUCCACAUCCCGGCAGCCGGGACGGCGAGGAGCACCAUCACAUGCCGGGUCCUGCUGCUGGACGGCUCGGACGUCAGCGUGGAGCUGCCUAGCAAGUGCAAAGGCCAGGACCUUUUCGACCAGAUCAUGUAUCACAUUGAUCUGGUGGAGACUGACUAUUUUGGACUGCAGUACAUGGACGCAGACCAAGUCUCUCACUGGCUGGACAUGUCCAAGCUCAUAAAGAAGCAGAUCAGAGACGGUCCCACCUUCAGAUUGUUUUUCCGUGUGAAAUUCUACUCAUCAGAACCAAAUAAUCUCAGAGAGGAGUUUACCAGGUAUCUGUUUGUGUUGCAGCUCAGGCAAGACGUUCUGUCCGGCAAAUUAAGAUGUCCGUACGAUGUCUCUGUGGAGUUGGCGUCUUAUUGUUUACAAAGUGAGCUUGGUGACUGUGAUCCGCUGGAGCACUCACCCGUGCUCGUGUCAGAGUUCCGCUUCUCUCCAAAGCAGAGCGAGGCCAUGGAGGCCGACAUCUUCAGCUCAUGGUUGGAGCUCAGGGGGAAGAGCCCGUCGCAAGCAGAAAUAUCGUUUCUCAAUAAAUGCAAGUGGCUGGAUCUUUAUGGAGUGGACAUGCACUUUGUUAAGGGAAGAGAUGGAGGAGAUUAUGCACUUGGCCUCACUCCAACAGGAAUCCUGGUGUAUGAAGGGUCAAAUAAAAUUGGCCUCUUCUACUGGCCCAAAAUCACCCGUCUAGACUUCAAGAAGAGUCGCUUAACUCUGGUCGUGGUGGAGGACGACGACCAGGGUCGUGAGCAGGAGCACACUUUCGUGUUUGAGCUUGCAAGUUCAAAAACCUGCAAGCACCUCUGGAAAUGUGCCGUAGAAAGCCACGCCUUCUUCCGGCUGCGACAACCAACGACAGGAAAAACCAGCCGUAACGACUUCACAAGACUCGGUUCCCGCUUCAGGUUCAGUGGCAAAACAGAGUACCAGGCCACCCACGGUGGCCGACUGCGACGAGCCAGCACAUUCGAGAGAAGACCAAGCAAACGUUACCCCUCCCGCACCCAGUCACUGGGCAAAGCUGCCAUUUCUCCCGCCAAGCCAUCACAUAUCAGCACCCAUGCCAGCCCUGAUCCCAGCAUGCAUCCAUACCACAACAUUCCUAUUGGCCAUGAGUCGUGGCACACCGCACAUCCCGUAGUCAGCACUCCACUGUACCUGCAGCCCUCUGGACACACACCACCACACAGUUUCCCCCUGAGCGGACCAGCGUCUGACCAUCAGCCGAGUGUUGAAGAGAAUGAAACAUUGUACCCCGGGAAAGUCCACCACCAUUACCGCCACCAUACUCACAGCCAGGACACACUCUAUCACGUGCACACCCAGAACAAACGUCGAGCUCCUCCCUGCCCUACAGGUGCGUUGGACCUCUCACAGUCCCUCCUCCAGACCUUGGACUCAGACAGUGAUUCUCCUCCAUGGCCUUCGCUGCACAUCAACAUGGGUGAUGACAAGCUACUUUCGGAGAAGUCUCUGCACCCUCCGCCAUCUCCGGCGUUGCACCCAGAUCACCUCAAGUGUAACAUCCUCAAGGCUCAGAUGGAGGCUGUUUUUAGAAAGGAGACACCAACAACACCAAGGGGGAAGAGCGCAAGUGAAACGAUAAGUGACAGAUUUCAGAACUCAUCUCUGGACUCAGCUGCGUCCACCUUGGCGACAGAUAAACCCCUGCGCCUCAACCUACCCGCAGAGAUUAUCCGUCCAGAAUCAAACUCAAGCAGCAACCGUCGAAAAAGGCUGGUCAGACAGUUCAGCUUUAACCAUGAAGAUGAAGAUAAUCUCCCGGAGGCACUUGCAGCGAUCAGUACAGCAAAGUCUGGAUCCAGCAGCUCAUUGGACAAACAGAUACAGCCGUCAAUAUACCCGCAGGUAACUCAACAGUGGACAAGUUACCAGCACUGAAACUGGGUAGUCCCUGCUGCCUUUCCCCCACUCCUUCUCCUCACCUGUCUCCCUCUUACUACCGUAGCUCCAUCCCUCAACCGGUCCCUUACCUUGUUGCCCCAAAUGACAGCACUGACGGAAUCAGACUGGACAGAGAAAAGAUACUCCGAGCCCUCCUGAUGACUGAGCUCUGACCUCUGUGCAUGGAUCAUGGGAAAGUGUCUAUAGACCCAAAGGUGCUGACUGUCAGAAGUCAGAAUUUGUACAUUUCUCUUUAUAUAUUUACAAAAAUGCUCAAUAUGUAAUUUUGAAUCUUUGUAUGUCCGUCCACUCCAUGAGCUGAAUGCUGCCGAUGUGGUUGGUGCUGCCUGCAUGUUGAAUAUUUGUGUCUCCAAACUGCCUCAGACAGUGUGUCAUCCAUUCAUUUCAUAGGUUUAAGUCCAUCAGAUACUUCAGACAAAUACAGCACAGAUUAGAUGCAAAACCCACCAACAUAAUUGCUGCACAGCAUCUGGAUUGUUUCUUCUGUAACAUCUGUAACUCGCUCUUGGGAAUGACUUCACCAUUCCUGUUACACUGCUCACUUUUUGUUUCCAUCUCCAUGGAUUUGCCAUGAUCAGAAUCUGGUGUUAUCACCUGACACUGUUCAUUUAUCCAAAUUUGGAGCGUUCGAAUGGAACAUUGUCAAUAAUGCAAAUUGUUGUCUGCGUAGAGAAUGUUAAUUCAGAGUGUUAAUACCCUCCCACCUAAAUGCGAUGGGGAUUCAGGAUGGAGUUUGCACUGCUUUACUCAGAUGGUCCACUAGAGAGAGACAAUGUGCAGCAGGUUAACGAUUUGUGUAUCUCGAAAUAAAGUUUUACCAGAGAAACAACGACA